AGAGUACUCCCUCCGUUCGGAAUUACUUGUCGCGGAAAUGGAUGUAUCUAGACAUAUUUUAGUUCUAGAUACAUCCAUUUCCGAGACAAGUAAUUCCAAACGGAGGGAGUAGAUA
rnacentral:pre_miRNA from 1 species